rnacentral:rRNA from 1 species
GACGAACGCUGGCGGCGUGCUUAACACAUGCAAGUCGAACGGAAAGGCCCUGCUUUUGUGGGGUGCUCGAGUGGCGAACGGGUGAGUAACACGUGAGUAACCUGCCCUUGACUUUGGGAUAACUUCAGGAAACUGGGGCUAAUACCGGAUAGGAGCUCCUGCUGCAUGGUGGGGGUUGGAAAGUUUCGGCGGUUGGGGAUGGACUCGCGGCUUAUCAGCUUGUUGGUGGGGUAGUGGCUUACCAAGGCUUUGACGGGUAGCCGGCCUGAGAGGGUGACCGGCCACAUUGGGACUGAGAUACGGCCCAGACUCCUACGGGAGGCAGCGGUGGGGAAUAUGGCACAAGGGGCGGAAGCCUGAGGCAGCAACGCCGCGUGCGGGAUGACGGCCUUCGGGUGGUAAACCGCUUUCGCCUGUGACGAAGCGUGAGUGACGGUAAUGGGUAAAGAAGCACCGGCUAACUACGU